rnacentral:tRNA from 1 species
AAUUUCGUAGCUCAAUUUGGUAGAACAUCAGUCUGUUAAACUGAAUGUUGAAGGUUCGAAUCCUUCCGAAA